UGGUGGAGUGAUUUGUCUGGUUAAUUCCGAUAACGAACGAGACUCUUUCCUGCUAAAUAGUUCUCUAGCAUUUGUUAACUUGUUUAACUACAGCUAGAGCCAACUUCUUAGAGGGAUUCGCGAUAUAAAAUCGCACGAAAUAGAGCAAUAACA
rnacentral:rRNA from 1 species